rnacentral:misc_RNA from 1 species
GAAAUGCGAUAAGUAAUGUGAAUUGCAGAAUUCAGAGAAUCAUCGAAUCUUUGAACUCACAUUGCGACCGCCAGCACUCUGGCGGGCAUGCCUGUUCGAGCGUCAUUUCAACCAUCAAGCCCCCGGGCUUGCGUUGGGGACCUGCGGCUGCCCGCAGGCCCUGAAAACCAGUGGCGGGCUCGCUGUAACCCCGGUCGUAGUAGUAUCAUCUCGUCCAUGGCUUGGCUGCGAGCUCCGGCAGUUAAACCUUCUCAAACCCAAAGGUUGACCGCGGAUCAGGUAGGAAUACCCGCUGAACUUGA